rnacentral:rRNA from 1 species
UAGGGAAUCUUCCACAAUGGGCGCAAGCCUGAUGGGGCAACGCCGCGUGAGUGAAGAAGGGUUUCGGCUCGUAAAACUCUGUUGUUAAAGAAGAACAUACCUGAGAGUAACUGUUCAGGUAUUGACGGUAUUUAACCAGAAAGCCACGGCUAACUACGUGCCAG